rnacentral:rRNA from 1 species
UACGGGGGGGGCAAGCGUUGUUCGGAAUUACUGGGCGUAAAGGGCUCGUAGGCGGCCAAUUAAGUCAGACGUGAAAUCCCUCGGCUUAACCGGGGAACUGCGUCUGAUACUGGAUGGCUUGAGUUCGGGAGAGGGAUGCGGAAUUCCAGGUGUAGCGGUGAAAUGCGUAGAUAUCUGGAGGAACACCGGUGGCGAAGGCGGCAUCCUGGACCGAUACUGACGCUGAGGAGCGAAAGCCAGGGGAGCAAACGGG